rnacentral:sRNA from 1 species
AGCUUUGCGCAGUGGCAGUAUCGUAGCCAAUGAGGUUUAUCCGAGGCGUGAUUAUUGCUAAUUGAAAACAUCCCAACCUGCUGUGCAUGGCAGGAUACACCUACAGUGUGAGAUUGAGACAGGAGGUCAUUGGAGCCCAGAAUCUC